AUCCUGGCUCAGAUUGAACGCGUGGCGGAAUGCUUUACACAUGCAAGUCGAACGGUAGGAGGGGGCCAACCCUUGAGAGUGGCGAACGGGUGAAGUUAAUAUUAUCGGAACGUGCCCAGUCGGUGGGGAUAACGUAGCGAAAGUUACGCUAAUACCGCAUACGAUCUAAGGAUGAAAGCGGGGGAUCGCAAGACCUCGCGCGAUUGGAGCGGCCGAUAUCAGAUUAGGUAGUUGGUGGGGUAAAGGCUCACCAAGCCAACGAUCUGUAGCUGGUCUGAGAGGACGACCAGCCACACUGGGACUGAGACACGGCCCAGACUCCUACGGGAGGCAGCAGUGGGGAAUUUUGGACAAUGGGCGCAAGCCUGAUCCAGCAAUGCCGCGUGCAGGAUGAAGGCCUUCGGGUUGUAAACUGCUUUUGUACGGAACGAAACGGUGAGCUCUAAUACAGUUUGCUAAUGACGGUACCGUAAGAAUAAGCACCGGCUAACUACGUG
rnacentral:rRNA from 1 species